GAUUCCAUGGUGUAGUUGGUUAUCACACCUGUCUAACACACAGGAGGGCGCCGGAUCGAGCCCGGCUGGAAUCA